GACAGAGGGUGCAAACGUUGUUCGGAAUUACUGGGCGUAAAGCGCGUGUAGGCGGCCCUGCAAGUCGGAUGUGAAAUCCCACGGCUCAACCGUGGAAGUGCAUUCGAAACUGCAGGCUAGAGUCCUGGAGAGGAAGGUGGAAUGCUUGGUGUAGAGGUGAAAUUCGUAGAUAUCAAGCGGAACACCGGUGGCGAAGGCGGCCUUCUGGACA
rnacentral:rRNA from 1 species